rnacentral:rRNA from 1 species
GAGUUUGAUCGUGGCUCAGAUCGAACGCUGGCGGCAGGCCUAACACAUGCAAGUCGAGCGGUAGAGAGAAGCUUGCUUCUCUUGAGAGCGGCGGACGGGUGAGUAAUGCCUAGGAAUCUGCCUGGUAGUGGGGGAUAACGCUCGGAAACGGACGCUAAUACCGCAUACGUCCUACGGGAGAAAGCAGGGGACCUUCGGGCCUUGCGCUAUCAGAUGAGCCUAGGUCGGAUUAGCUAGUUGGUGAGGUAAUGGCUCACCAAGGCGACGAUCCGUAACUGGUCUGAGAGGAUGAUCAGUCACACUGGAACUGAGACACGGUCCAGACUCCUGCGGGAGGGCAGCAGUGGGGAAUAUUGGACAAUGGGCGAAAGCCUGAUCCAGCCAUGCCGCGUGUGUGAAGAAGGUCUUCGGAUUGUAAAGCACUUUAAGUUGGGAGGAAGGGCAGUAAAUUAAUACUUUGCUGUUUUGACGUUACCGACAGAAUAAGCACCGGCUAACUCUGUGCCAGCCCG